GGGGCUGUAGCUCAGUGGUAGAGCACUUGCCUAGCAUGUAAGAGAUAUUGGGUUCAAUCCUUAGCACCACA
rnacentral:tRNA from 1 species